UGCUUAUGGCAUAUUAGGAUAUUGAUUUUUGCGUAACGGACACGUUCGCCCCAUCAUCUAUAAACACUGCCAGUAUUGCAGCUCCGGAACUACCAUCAUUAUAGGCCGCAGUUCACUUUAAAUGCCAAGUACUGCAUUUGUUCUACACCAAUUUGUCUGUGCAUCAGAACCGAUUUGAUGGCACCGCUGUGAAACGAAGAAAAUGAACAGCCAAAUGAAUGCUUUCUUCGUUGGCGGGUGGGUCCACCCACAAAGUGAAUAAGACAAAAUUCUUGGCACUCGCCGCGACGACCACGCCCACUGUGCCCAGCGACUGCGCAGCGGCUGAAUGGGAAGUGACGGUGGUGGCGGAGAGGAUACCCACACCAUGAUGAAGCGCAUACAUGAUUUCCAUUUUCCAUUCCCAUGUGCAGCAUGUGCGAAAACCGUUGCACGUCCUCUCGUUGGCGUCGAAAAUCGUUGCACGGCCGCCACGCGAACUAUGCCAGCUGCCCCUUUCUGCAAGUUGCCAGACCUUCGAGGUUUGGGCUUGAGUUUGCUGCUGGUUGUUGUUGCUGUUGUCGCAGGAGGGAUGAAGCCCGAAUUUAUUGCACCGUCUGACCCCCGCGAUCCACACCCCCCUCUUUGGCGUUGGCAGCAGCAGCGCAGUGGCAGCGCCGCAGCAGCGCAGGAAAUGCGUUCGGCUUUCUUCGCCGCCAAAAAAACAAAAAUUGCUGGGCUCUUUCUUUUUCUUUUGCACCCAUGGAAAUUAAGAAAUUUCUCGGUUCUCCGAAUUCUGCAGCGCGCCGUUUAUUUAUACAUGCCAUUCUUUUAAUAUUGUCAUUUUCAUUUUUGUCAACGCUAUCGUCGCCACAAAAGAAAUCGCAGGUCAAUACACUCCUUGUAAUAACAAAUGUAUGUACAUAAAACAAAAUGCGAAUGCAUUUUGCGGGUGGCUGGAUUAAAUGCUGUCUGCGAUUGGGAGCCAGAACAUUGUAGCACUUAUAAAUGUUUAAUAUUAUUUAUAAAUAUAGAAUACAUUUAAAUUAAAUAGUACGCCUAUAUUGUUUUAAGUGAAUAUUGAACUGUAUUUUAACAAUAAAUCCAGCUGAGAUCUAAUAUUUCUAAUUUCUCAAGCAUCAAUAUUGGA